rnacentral:rRNA from 1 species
CCUACGGGAGGCAGCAGUGGGGAAUUUUGGACAAUGGGCGCAAGCCUGAUCCAGCCAUGCCGCGUGCGGGAAGAAGGCCUUCGGGUUGUAAACCGCUUUUGUCAGGGAAGAAAAGGUUCUGGUUAAUACCUGGGACUCAUGACGGUACCUGAAGAAUAAGCACCGGCUAACUACGUGCCAGCAGCCGCGGUAAUACGUAGGGUGCAAGCGUUAAUCGGAAUUACUGGGCGUAAAGCGUGCGCAGGCGGUUAUGCAAGACAGAGGUGAAAUCCCCGGGCUCAACCUGGGAACUGCCUUUGUGACUGCAUAGCUAGAGUACGGUAGAGGGGGAUGGAAUUCCGCGUGUAGCAGUGAAAUGCGUAGAUAUGCGGAGGAACACCGAUGGCGAAGGCAAUCCCCUGGACCUGUACUGACGCUCAUGCACGAAAGCGUGGGGAGCAAACAGGAUUAGAUACCCUGGUAGUCCACGCCCUAAACGAUGUCAACUGGUUGUUGGGAGGGUUUCUUCUCAGUAACGUAGCUAACGCGUGAAGUUGCCGCCUGGGGNGCGGCGCGAGUGAACGACANAGAGUGNGCGNGAGAGNGCGAGACGACGACGAGGGAGGAGG